CGGGGUCCAUAGGAGCCAAUUUUAUCAACUGCCCAAGGUGAUUUCGAGUAAGGAAUUUCUAGACAAUCUUGGGCAUAGUGGCCAAUUCUUCCACAAGAGUAGCAGUAAUGAGGCUCACACUGUUUAAGGACGAGCAAAUUACUCGAGUAGGACCAUGGUGCAGAUUGCAUAAUUCUCUCCUUUUCCUCCUCUGAUUGAAAGACGAAGGUUUCCUCGUCAAGUCUCAGAAUCAAAUCACUCCAACAACAAAUGCUGCAUAUAUCCCAGUCGACAUUUCUUCUCUCCAUUAGACGAUGAGGAUGAACUCCUACCUUAAUCAAGCCCCAAGAGCGUGGAUUCCAUCUGACCCAGCCUCGACCAACACAAUUGUUCUCUCGAGUGAAGAGGAGGCCACUGCUCUCAGUGUAAUCUAGAUCGAAUGAGAAAUUUUUUUGGGUUUUCCUUUUUGAAACAUCAUUGUAUGGGAAGGAACAGAGAAAAGCGAGAGUGAUUGUCGUGAUCAACUCUAGGGUUUUGGGGAAAAAACAGCACUACCAGAGGGUAGAGAGAAACUCGCAUAAAACGAGAGAAGGUGAGACUCGCGUUUGUUAAUAAUUGAACUAAGCCAAAUGUACUUCUUUUGUUUAAUUUUCAAGUCAAAAUAUAAAAUAUUAUUCACAUAUUUUUGAAAAUA